rnacentral:tRNA from 1 species
UCUAAAUUGGCAGAAUAAAUGUAAAGAGUUUAGAACUCUUCUAUAAAUUAAAAUUUAUUUAGAA